ACUGCCACAAGUGGACGCCAGU
rnacentral:misc_RNA from 1 species